AGGACGAACGCUGGCGGCGUGCUUAACACAUGCAAGUCGAGCGGAAAGGCCCUUCGGGGUACUCGAGCGGCGAACGGGUGAGUAACACGUGAGUAAUCUGCCCCUAGCUCUGGGAUAGCUCCGGGAAACCGGGAUUAAUACCAGAUACGACCACUUUAGACAUCUGCUGUGGUGGAAAGAAUUUCGGCUAGGGAUGAGCUCGCGGCCUAUCAGCUUGUUGGUGAGUAACGGCUCACCAAGGCACGACGGGUA
rnacentral:rRNA from 1 species